rnacentral:RNase_P_RNA from 1 species
CAGGUCGGAGGGUCUGUCGCUCGCCUUUCAUGUAUAGGGCGAGAGGAAAGUCCGGGCAACGCAGAGCGCCAUACUCACGCAGCUAUCGGUGACGGUAGAGACAACGUGACAGAAAAUUACCGCCGCGAACGAUAAGGACGCGGUAAGGGUGAAAAGGCGAGGUAAGAGCUCACCGGGCGGGAUAGCGAUAUUUCGUGCCGCACGUCUUAUGGGUUGCAAGGUCAAGUAUACCGGCAUUCAAGGGUUGCUCGCCCAUUGCCGGGGGGUAGACUGCUCAACGCCGGAGCGCGCAAGUGCUUUCGGCCAGAUAAAUGACAGACGGUGCUUCCGAACUCCCUUUCGGGAAAGCAGGGACACCACAUAACUCGGCUUAUACUCCGGCCUGUGUU